UCCCGCGAGAUUGGGCUUCUUUUGAAAACUACACCGGGCAGCGUCUUGGUUUAUUAGCCCUGUCCCUGAUGUUCAACUCAUUCCAGAUUAUCCUCUUCCUGAUCCUUCAUCUGCACGCGGGAUCCUUCAGCGUUCUUGCCUUUGGAAGAGCCUUACACUGGGCUGACACCCUGGUUGCAGUACUGUGAAAGAUGAGGAAAGCAGAGGACCAGGAAAAGUCACCUGUCCCAUGGUCAGUGCUUAGAUUUGGUCAACGAAAGAGAAUUCUCUCUCUGAACCAACAAGUCUUCUUUUGCUGGAUAUAACUUGGCAGCAGUUAUAGCUUCUCCUCCCUUGGCAAGAACCUCAAGUGCAAGUAUACUUUGUUGCCAGUUUUGAACAAGGUUGGAGGGAAGUGCUUUAAAGACUGGACAACUCUGAAAACCCUUUAGGAGGCAAAAUUAAUGACACAGAGACUGCUUCUUUCAGGUAUGUAAUUUGUCAUUCAAGUAAGGGGUAGAUUCCUAUCACAUGGAAUUUAAGAAAAAACCUCAGAAUCCAGAGGUUAAAAUUU